rnacentral:ncRNA from 1 species
AAGAUAGAGGCGCGACUCUGAUGAGUAACACCCGCGAGGCUGCCGAAAGCCCGUGACCGUGUGUGAAAGGUAUUGGUCGCCGAAGGAGAUUGCCGGCGGCUGGCAGGCUCCUGGUUGUUCCGGCGAAAGCCCUGCAACUGUCAUCAUGCUUUAUGAUGGAGAGCUAUCCG